rnacentral:rRNA from 1 species
GAUGAACGCUGGCGGCGUGCCUAAUACAUGCAAGUCGAGCGAGCGGACGAGAAGCUUGCUUCUCUGAUGUUAGCGGCGGACGGGUGAGUAACACGUGGAUAACCUACCUAUAAGACUGGGAUAACUUCGGGAAACCGGAGCUGAUACCGGAUGAUAUUUUGAACCGCAUGGUUCAAAAGUGAAAGACGGUCUUGCUGUCACUUAUAGAUGGAUCCGCGCUGCAUUAGCUAGUUGGUAAGGUAACGGCUUACCAAGGCAACGAUGCAUAGCCGACCUGAGAGGGUGAUCGGCCACACUGGAACUGAGACACGGUCCAGACUCCUACGGGAGGCAGCAGUAGGGAAUCUUCCGCAAUGGGCGAAAGCCUGACGGAGCAACGCCGCGUGAGUGAUGAAGGUCUUCGGAUCGUAAAACUCUGUUAUUAGGGAAGAACAUAUGUGUAAGUAACUGUGCACAUCUUGACGGUACCUAAUCAGAAAGCCACGGCUAACUACGUG